AUUGAACGCUGGCGGCAGGCCUAACACAUGCAAGUCGAACGAGUGGCGGACGGGUGAGUAAUGUCUGGGAACCUGCCUGAUGGAGGGGGAUAACUACUGGAAACGGUAGCUAAUACCGCAUACUAUCAGAUGUGCCCAGAUGGGAUUAGCUUGUGGGUGGGGUAACGGCUCAGCAAGGCGACGAUCCCUAGCUGGUCUGAGAGGAGGACGCGCCACACGGGAACUGCGACACGGUCCAGACUCCUACGGGAGGCAGCAGUGGGGAAGAUUGCACAAUGGGCGCAAGCCUGAUGCAGCCAUGCCGCGUGUAUGGAGAAGGCCUUCGGGUUGUAAAGUACGUUCAGCGGGGAGGCGUUACCCGCAGAAGAAGCACCGGCUAACUCCGUGCCAGCAGCCGCGGUAAUUC
rnacentral:rRNA from 1 species